rnacentral:rRNA from 1 species
AUUGAACGCUGGCGGCAGGCUUAACACAUGCAAGUCGAACGAGUGGCGGACGGGUGAGUAAUGUCUGGGAAUCUAGCUUAUGGAGGGGGAUAACUACUGGAAACUGUAGCUAAUACCGCGUACCAUCGCAUGAACCCAUUUGGGAUUAGGUAGUUGGUGGGGUAAAGGCUCACCUAGGCGACGAUCUCUAGCUGGUCUGAGAGGAUGACCAGCCACACUGGGACUGAGACACGGCCCAGACUCCUACGGGAGGCAGCAGGGGGGAAUAUUGCGCAAUGGGGGCAACCUGACGCAGCCAUGCCGCGUGUAUGAAGAAGGCCUUCGGGUUGUAAAGUUCUUUCGGUAGCGAGGCGUUAACUACAGAAGAAGCACCGGCUAACUCCGUGCCAGCAGCCGCGGUAAUAG